AUGAAUCUUUUAGACAAAAUAUUAGCAUAUGGGAAGCUUGCAGUGGCAUGUAUGGAAAAUUCUCAAUUAUGUGUAGACAGUACAUGUUAUAGAAAUGAAGAAACUAAAAUCACACUUGAAAGUGAAAGACAUAACACUCUCUCCUUAUUUCCACAAACAAUUAUAAAUGAUGUUGCACAUGUCAAGCAUGAAUCCACGCAUCCACAAGCCCAUCCAAUGUCGCCACUGAUUCUCCAUCCUCGAGCAGAGCCUCUUUUGCCUGCCGCAUCACCGCUAGAGUCCGCUCUCGAAGCAUCUUCCCGCCUUCUGAAUCAAUCAUCCACUUGA
rnacentral:rRNA from 1 species